AUCAAAUCAAAUUAACCUUCGUUAUUUAACACAGAAUGCAUCCACAGAUGCUGAAUCCAAAACUGGAGCAGGAACCCUUGAGGUCGCUGAAUUCAGAAAGGCAGCGAAAAUGAAGCCACUGAGAGCUGCUUUUAUUUAAGGCGUGUUUCCUAAGGCAUUGCCUCCGCUCUGCCUGCUCCAGUGUCCUGGCUGAUGCAAUGGCAUUAGCUAGUUCAGCCAGAGAGUCUGUGGUGCUGCUGUCGACAGCCCGAGGAAGCUGCUGCUUUGCCGAAGAGCCUCUCUGCGAAUGGCUGAUCAUUCCCACUCUCCCUGGGAAAACCUUUAGGCCAGCCUCCCUUCCCUCUUUGCCCCUGAUGAUGUGUCCCCUUCCUCCCGCUAUGCCUGCGUUUGAGCGCUCGCUCGCUCUUACCUCUGGAACAGAGCCAAGGAAAGAGAAUUGGAAGCUAAAGCUACCAAAGAAGUUGAAAGAAAACUAAGCAGGGAUUUAGUGCAAGAAGAGGAAGAACAGUUGAUGGAAGAAAGGAAAAAGAGAAAAGAAGACAAGAAAAAGAAGGAAGCUGCUCAAAAAAAGGUAUGUGGAUCAUUUAAGUUAAAAAAAAUAGGAUUUGGCUUUUGUUUUUUUUCUCAGACUAAUUUUGCUUAUUGUAAUAUAGCUGUUAAAGAUAAGCCCUUUUUUUUUUUUUUUUAAAUCUCAUUAUAGCACUUCCAAAGCACAAUGCAAUCAUCAAGUAACUGUCUUACUGAACAUCUUUACUGAUCUUGCAGGCAUAGUUUUUUCAAAGCUAAAAAUCUUGUUUAGAUAUCCAUUUAGCUCACAGAUCUUCAGUUGAUAGGGACGUUUCUGGAUGCAAGCCCAUGCAUACACAAUGUGAAGACUGACAUAGUAUAAAAUGUUUUUUAAAAUAGUUGUUUUUAGCUGUUAGCCUUAUUUUAAUACAUCUGAUUAGCCUUCUGUGAUUAGUGUAACUCUUCAUCACACAUGCUUUAUCAAAGAUGGAUAAAAUUAAAACAUUGGCAGCAGGGAGUGGGGUUUAAGACUAGUUAUGGUAAAGUGCUUUGAAGAUAUAAGAGCAUUGAGUGAAUACUAAGAAUUAUUCCCAAGACAUUUUUAAAGAAAAAAUACAAAAUUACUUUUUGGGUAAUGUUAAAACAGUAUCCGUCAGUCAUUAGUAUUUAACAUUGUAGAUGCCCUGGUUGAGAGGAGCCCAUAAAUCUGGCUAAGAACAUAUCUCCAUUUCAGACUUCCAAUUCCUGUAAGGAGACAUCUAAAAUAAGCCUAGUUCUCAAUUUUUUCUUGAUCCUCCUUAGCAAUGUAAAAUGUUCAGUUCAUAUGCAGAAAGAUGGCUAGUCAUUUCUGCAACCCAGACCUCUUGUCAAAAUAAAAGGGUUUAUCUCAUUUACA
rnacentral:lncRNA from 1 species